rnacentral:lncRNA from 1 species
GCUGAUCCUGUUAGUGCUGAACACUCGCCAAAAUCCAGAGACAAGGGACAGAAGUCAACGUUGCUCAGCACCUUGCAGGAUUGGAGCCUUCGGGCUGGACGCGGGGCUGUUGGGACAGAUCCUGCACGAUGCUGCGUGCGUCCUGGGAGGACCGGGUCUCGAGGAGCACAGUCGUCGCGGGCUCUGGCGAGGAGGCGCCGCGGUGGACAUGAGCACUGAGGUCUCACCUCGAUAGUGGCUGAGGCUCGUGUCCCAAGGACCCAGUCCCUGCCAUGGGGCAGCAGAACAUGGCCCUCCAUGAAGAACCAGAUGCUGGUUUUUGGAGGCCAGAUGAAGCGGUCGUCUGCUUUGCUA